GACGAACGCUGGCGGCGUGCUUAACACAUGCAAGUCGAACGGAAAGACGCUGCGUUUGUGGGGUGCUCGAGUGGCGAACGGGUGAGUGACACAUGAGUAACAUGCCCUUGACUUUGGGAUAACUUCAGGGAACAGGGGCUAAUACCGGAGAGAAGCUCCUGCUGCAUGGUGGGGGUUGGAAAGUUUCGGCGGUUGGGGAUGGACUCGCGGGUUAUCAGCUGGUUGGGGGGGUAGUGGCUUACCAAGGCUUUGACGGGUAGCCGGCCUGAGAGGGUGACCGGCCACAUUGGGACUGAGAUACGGCCCAGACUGCUACGGGAGGGAGCAGUGGGGAAUAUUGAACAAUGGGCGGAAGGCUGAUGAAGCAACGCCGCGUGCGGGAUGACGGUCUUCGGGUUGUAAACCGCUUUCGCCUGUGACGAAGCGUGAGUGACGGUAAUGGGUAAAGAAGCACCGGCUAACUACGUG
rnacentral:rRNA from 1 species